CCUACGGGAGGCAGCAGUGAGGAAUAUUGGUCAAUGGACGAGAGUCUGAACCAGCCAAGUAGCGUGAAGGAUGACUGCCCUAUGGGUUGUAAACUUCUUUUAUAUGGGAAUAAAAUGUUCCACGUGUGGGAUUUUGUAUGUACCAUAUGAAUAAGGAUCGGCUAACUCCGUGCCAGCAGCCGCGGUAAUACGGAGGAUCCGAGCGUUAUCCGGAUUUAUUGGGUUUAAAGGGAGCGUAGGUGGAUUGUUAAGUCAGUUGUGAAAGUUUGCGGCUCAACCGUAAAAUUGCAGUUGAAACUGGCAGUCUUGAGUACAGUAGCGGUGGGCGGAAUUCGUGGUGUAGCGCUGACAUGCUUCGAUAUCACGAAGAACUCCGAUUGCGAAGGCAGUUCACUGGACUGCACCUGACACUGAGGCUCGAAAGUGUGGGUAUCAAACAGGAUUAGAUACCCUGGUAGUC
rnacentral:rRNA from 1 species